rnacentral:rRNA from 1 species
AGGGGGGCCGAGGUGCGUGAAGCCCCUCGCGGGCUGGCGCGUUUCGGCCGCAGAGACCAGGGAGAAGCGACUGUUUACUAAAAACACAGGUCCAUGCUAAGUCGCAAGACGAUGUAUAUGGACUGACGCCUGCCCGGUGCUGGAAGGUUAAGAGGACCGGUCAGUCACGCAAGUGGCGAAGCUGAGAAUUUAAGCCCCAGUAAACGGCGGUGGUAACUAUAACCAUCCUAAGGUAGCGAAAUUCCUUGUCGGGU